AUUAGUUUUUCUCCCGAAACCUAAACUUUUCUUCUCACCCGAACCUCUCUUCUCCUCUCACGCUCGCGACGGCGCGCGAUGGUUCUCUCUCGGGCGAAGACAAAGCCGAGCUAGGGUUUUCCUCCCUCCGGCGGUCGGCGAAGGCUUCCUUCCGGCGAACCUUAGUGAUUUCGGUCCUCUUGUCGAGGAGAGUUCGUAGAGACGAGGAAGAGGCCGGGAAGAUCAAGCUCCUCCGAACCCUAGAACCUCCUCUUCGGCUGUAAGUCCAAGAACAAGAGAUAAAGGAAAGGAAAAUAUUUAGGAAGGAAGGCGACAAGGUGGUGCGGAUGGUGUGUGAUGCGUGGACUGUGGGAGAGAUCAGGGGAAUUGAGUCACACUUUAUGUUUUAUGUCAAUAGAGAUUGAUAAAGAGUUGUUUCUAUUUUUCUGAUGUUGCUAUUGAGUCUAUUCCACAUUGUUUGUUUGGUUGUUUCCAUUGUUGGAGCUUUAUUCAUUUACCAUUGCUAGAUUAGUUUUCUUUGA